rnacentral:rRNA from 1 species
UACGUAGGGUCCGAGCGUUGUCCGGAAUUAUUGGGCGUAAAGAGCUCGUAGGCGGUUUCGUAAGUCGGAUGUGAAAACUCAGGGCUCAACCCGGAGACGCCAUCUGAUACUGCGAUGACUUGAGUCUGGUAGGGGAACACGGAAUUCCUGGUGUAGCGGUGAAAUGCGCAGAUAUCAGGAGGAACACCGAUGGCGAAGGCAGUGUUCUGGGCCAGUACUGACGCUGAGGAGCGAAAGCGUGGGGAGCAAACAGG